GCUCUACAACCCUUUGUGAACAUACGUAUAACUGUUGCUUCGGCGGGUAGGGUCUCCGUGACCCUCCCGGCCUCCCGCCCCCGGGCGGGUCGGCGCCCGCCGGAGGAUAACCAAACUCUGAUUUAACGACGUUUCUUCUGAGUGGUACAAGCAAAUAAUCAAAACUUUUAACAACGGAUCUCUUGGUUCUGGCAUCGAUGAAGAACGCAGCGAAAUGCGAUAAGUAAUGUGAAUUGCAGAAUUCAGUGAAUCAUCGAAUCUUUGAACGCACAUUGCGCCCGCCAGCAUUCUGGCGGGCAUGCCUGUUCGAGCGUCAUUUCAACCCUCAAGCUCUGCUUGGUGUUGGGGCCCUACAGCUGAUGUAGGCCCUCAAAGGUAGUGGCGGACCCUCCCGGAGCCUCCUUUGCGUAGUAACUUUACGUCUCGCACUGGGAUCCGGAGGGACUCUUGCCGUAAAACCCCCCAAUUUUCCAAAGGUUGACCUCGGAUCAGGUAGGAAUACCCGCUGAACUUAAGCAUAUCAAUAAGCGGAGGAAAAGAAACCAACAGGGAUUGCCUCAGUAACGGCGAGUGAAGCGGCAACAGCUCAAAUUUGAAAUCUGGCCCUAGGCCCGAGUUGUAAUUUGCAGAGGAUGCUUUUGGUGCGGUGCCUUCCAAGUUCCCUAGAACGGGACGCCAGAGAGGGUGAGAGCCCCGUACAGUUGGACACCAAGCCUUUGUAAAGCUCCUUCGACGAGUCGAGUAGUUUGGGAAUGCUGCUCAAAAUGGGAGGUAUAUUUCUUCUAAAGCUAAAUACCGGCCAGAGACCGAUAGCGCACAAGUAGAGUGAUCGAAAGAUGAAAAGCACUUUGAAAAGAGGGUUAAACAGCACGUGAAAUUGUUAAAAGGGAAGCGCUUGUGACCAGACUUGCGUCCGGUGAAUCACCCAGCUCUCGCGGCUGGGGCACUUCGCCGGCUCAGGCCAGCAUCAGCUCGCUGUCGGGGACAAAAGCUUCAGGAACGUAGCUCUCUUCGGGGAGUGUUAUAGCCUGUUGCAUAAUACCCUUCGGCGGGCUGAGGUACGCGU
rnacentral:rRNA from 1 species